GGGGUGGAAAAUAUGAAGAAGGACGUGUCAACCUUCUCGAGCACUGCAAAGCCAGACGGUCUUCUUUUCGCAAGGGAAUAAAAAGAGGAUCGAAACUGGAGAACUGAUGCCUUUGAAAGGCCCACCAAGGCAGAUUGGUGGUUGUGGCGAUGGUGCCUACAAAGAGACUCAGGAAACUGUAAAUCUCCGUCUGAAGGAUGAUGAUUGACAAUUUUGCCGUUCUGGGAACCUAUGUGAAAAGGAUGAGACGUCGUCUCUGUGGAGCAAUAUUUAACGUCUUGCAAAGAGCUUGGACUCCUCAAGCGCUACAAGAGGGGAGAGGGACUUCAUAAAUUAUGGAAAGGGACAUGGAGAUCUUGCCGGUGAUGGAUACUUAAAAGGUUUAUACAUAAAAAGGGAGAGAAGGGAGAAGUCUCAAAGAGAGGCUCGGAGCAAGGCAGCUAUGGAUGAGAAGAAGACGGCAGCGACUUAAUGCUUAGAAUAAUUCAAGAGCAGCGUCUUGGAAGAGACACAGCUUUAUCAAGGUUCCCCUGGGCUCCGGUGUUCGUAUGAACUACUCUGCGGUUGCUUAUCACAGCCUCGAAAACGAAAGGAACAGGCAGCACAACUUAACGAAAGCAUGUCAGCAAGAGAGAGGUGUCUUAAGAACAUAUGUAUUUCAGAUGCAAAAGUUGAUUUGUUUGCUUUCGUGUCGGGACAUGAAGGUGUGAUCAAUCAAAUGUCAGCAUAUUCCCUGUGAAAUUUGGUCUGGAAUAUUAAAGUGGGGUGUUUUUUUUUUUUAAUUUUA